CACAUUGCUAUUUGUCAAUUGCCACCCACCACCCUAUCAGAAGAAAGCACUUUCCUAUUGCCACCUAAUCCUCUGUCUUCAUCCCAGAAAGAGAAGAAGCCAAUUGAAAUUACACUUAACGUUGCUUGAAGUUUAAGUCUUAAAUGGUUUGAUGAGAAAUAUGGGACAAACCUUCACUUGAAGGCAUUUUGAUCUUAAGAGCAUGUUGAUGUGUUGGCUAUUUAUUUUUUUGAUCGCUAUGAACAUUUUUUUUUUUUUGCUUAUGAUUUAGUAUUAUGUUGUAUUGACACUUGCAAGUGGUGUAGAGUUAAUUUUGUAUUUUGA